UCCUAAACAACUAAAUCAGUCUCGCCUCAUUUCUUCCCCCAAACCUGAUCUGAGAGAGAGGCUGCCUCCUUCACAAAGCCGAUUUGAACCGAACCCGAGAGCUCCUCCUCCGGCCGCUUCCGCCAUGUCCGCCAACACCAAGCCCUCUCUCUCUCUCUUCUCUUCACUUUUAGCCUUCAAUUCAUCGAUUGUUCCCAAACUCGAUCUGAGAGAGAGGCUGCCUCCUUCACAAAGCCGAUCUGUACCGAACCCGAGAACGCCUCCUCCUGCCGCUUCCGCCAUGUCCGCCAUCUCCAAGACCUCUCUCUUUGUCUCUUCACUUCACUUCAGUCUCAGCCUAAUCAGUUAGCCUUCAAUUCAUCAAACUCGAUCUGAACCUUCAUUGAAAAUACUCGAUCUGAACCUUCAUUGAAAAUACUCGAUCUGAACCUUCAGUUCCCAAACUAGUUCUGAACCUUCAGUUAGCAUACUCGAUCUGAACCUUCAGUUAGUUUACUCGAUCUGGGCAGGAUUGGAGUUGCUGGUGGGGCUUCUUGAGUCUAAAAGCCUGAAGCAGCAACAUGAUGGUUCAUUGGCCUUGCACACAUUGGCUACAAAAGCCUCUCCACUCUCUCAUGUAGAUGCAGUUCCUCCAGCACCAAACUCACAGAAGUUCAGAAAAGGGGAAAGGACUUCUGGAAUGAGUUUGAUUUUGGGAAGCUUCAACUCGAUCAAACUCGAAUUGGUGGCUCUAGAGUUGUGAUUGUUUGGUGUUCUUCUUCGAACUAAAGGGACAAGUGUGGAAGCCAAUUAAUGGAUGGUUGCAUUGCUGGUGAACUGCUGGAUUGAAGACUGGAAGAAUGGCUACUAAGUUGCUGUAUUAGAAUUAGGAUUUCUAUUUCAUUGCAUAUUUGUACUUGAAUUUGGACUUCGUAUUUAAAUUUGGACACUUUGUAUUUCAAUUGUAGCUUUAAUUGUUCUUGAUAAGUACUUGAAUUUGGAUAUUAUGUAUUAUGGAUAUUUGAAUUUGCAGCUUGAACUUUGGAUCUUGA